rnacentral:rRNA from 1 species
UGUCCCACGCUUUCGUGCCUCAGUGUCAGUGUUGGCCCAGGCAGUCGCCUUCGCCACGGAUGUUCCUCCUGAUCUCUACGCAUUUCACUGCUACACCAGGAAUUCCACUACCCUCUGCCACACUCUAGUCGCCCAGUUUCCAUCGCAAUUCCCAGGUUGAGCCCAGGGCUUUCACGACAGACUUAAACAACCACCUACGCACGCUUUACGCCCAGUAAUUCCGAGUAACGCUUGCACCCUUCGUAUUACCGCGGCUGCUGGCACGAAGUUAGCCGGUGCUUAUUCUUUGGGUACCGUCAGAACAAUCGGGUAUUAACCGACUGCUUUUCUUUCCCAACAAAAGGGCUUUACAACCCGAAGGCCUUCUUCACCCACGCGGUAUGGCUGGAUCAGGCUUGCGCCCAUUGUCCAAUAUUCCCCACUGCUGCCUCCCGUAGGAGUCUGGACCGUGUCUCAGUUCCAGUGUGGCUGAUCAUCCUCUCAGACCAGCUACCGAUCGUCGCCUUGGUGGGCUCUUACCCCGCCAACUAGCUAAUCGGGCAUCGGCUCAUUCAAUCGCGCAAGGUCCGAAGAUCCCCUGCUUUCACCCGUAGGUCGUAUGCGGUAUUAGCGUAAGUUUCCCUACGUUAUCCCCCACGACAGAGUAGAUUCCGAUGCAUUCUNACCCGUCGCACUCGCCACCCGUAAGAGCAAGCUUUACUGUGCUGNCGUCGACUUGAUGUGNUAGGCUACCGCAGCGUNACUCUGAGCAGGA